UACGUAGGCAGCAAGCGUUGUUCGGAAUUACUGGGCGUAAAGCGUGCGCAGGCGGUUCGCUAUGUCUGAUGUGAAAGCCCCGGGCUCAACCUGGGAACUGCAUUGGAAACUAGCGGGCUGGAGUGUGGCAGAGGGGGGUGGAAUUCCACGUGUAGCAGUGAAAUGCGUAGAGAUGUGGAGGAACACCGAUGGCGAAGGCAGCCCCCUGGGCUAACACUGACGCUCAUGCACGAAAGCGUGGGGAGCAAACAGG
rnacentral:rRNA from 1 species